UACAGAGGUCUCAAGCGUUGUUCGGAUUCAUUGGGCGUAAAGGGUGCGUAGGCGGUUCAUCAAGUCGAAUGUGAAAGCCCCCGGCUCAACUGGGGAGGGUCAUUCGAUACUGCUGGACUUGAAGGCAGGAGAGGGAAGUGGAAUUCCCGGUGUAGUGGUGAAAUGCGUAGAUAUCGGGAGGAACACCAGUGGCGAAGGCGACUUCCUGGCCUGUUCUUGACGCUGAGGCGCGAAAGCUGGGGGAGCAAACGGG
rnacentral:rRNA from 1 species